rnacentral:tRNA from 1 species
GGCCUCGUAGCUCAGUUGGCUUGGGCGUUGGCUGUGCCUUGUCCCUGCUGGCGUGGGUUCGAAUCCCACUGAGGUCA